rnacentral:rRNA from 1 species
GGGUGAGUAACGCGUGGGCAACCUGCCCUGUACCGGGGGACAACAGCCAGAAAUGGCUGCUAAUACCGCAUAAGCCUGCUGUGCCGCAUGGCACAGCAGGGAAAACCACGGUGGUACAGGAUGGGCCCGCGUCUGAUUAGUUAGUUGGCAGGGUAACGGCCUACCAAGACAACGAUCAGUAGCCGGCUUGAGAGAGUGGACGGCCACAUUGGGACUGAGACACGGCCCAGACUCCUGCGGGAGGCAGCAGUGGGGAAUAUUGCACAAUGGGGGGAACCCUGAUGCAGCAAUGCCGCGUGGGUGAAGAAGCACUCCGGUGCGUAAAGCCCUGUCAGCAGGGAAGAAAAUGACAGUACCUGGACAAGAAGCCCCGGCUAACUACGUGCCAGCAGCCGCGGUAAUACGUAGGGGGCAAGCGUUAUCCGGAUUUACUGGGUGUAAAGGGAGCGCAGGCGGCGUGGCAAGUCAGAUGUGAAAACCCGGGGCCCAACCCCGGGAGUGCAUUUGAAACUGCCAUGCUGGAGUGCCGGAGAGGUAAGCGGAAUUCCUAGUGUAGCGGUGAAAUGCGUAGAUAUUAGGAGGAACACCAGUGGCGGAGGCGGCUUACUGGACGGUAACUGACGCUGAGGCUCGAAAGCGUGGGGAGCAAACAGGAUUAGAUACCCUGGUAGUCCACGCCGUAA